rnacentral:rRNA from 1 species
AGCGAACGCUGGCGGCAGGCCUAACACAUGCAAGUCGAACGGACCCUUCGGGGUUAGUGGCGGACGGGUGAGUAACACGUGGGAACGUGCCUUUAGGUUCGGAAUAGCUCCUGGAAACGGGUGGUAAUGCCGAAUGUGCCCUUCGGGGAAAGAUUUAUCGCCUUUAGAGCGGCCCGCGUCUGAUUAACUAGUUGGUGGGGUAAUGGCCCACCAAGGCUACGAUCAGUAGCUGGUCUGAGAGGAUGACCAGCCACAUUGGGACUGAGACACGGCCAAACUCCUACGGAGGCAGCAGUGGGGAAUCUUGCGCAAUGGCGAAAGCCUGACGCAGCCAUGCCGCGUGCAGGAUGAAGGCGUUAUGCGUUGUAAACUGCUUUUAUACAGGAAG